rnacentral:rRNA from 1 species
CCCUUAGAUGUCCUGGGCCGCACGCGCGCUACACUGAGUGUCUGAGAUACGAGUCUGCCUGGUCCGGCAAGGUCUAGGUAAUCGCUAAAAGACACAUCAUGCUUGGGAUAGAUUAUUGCAAAUAUUAAUCUUGAACGAGGAAUUCCUAGUAAGCGCAAGUCAACAGCUUGCGUUGAUUACGUCCCUGCCUUUGUACACACCGCCCGUCGCUACUACUGAUUGGAUGUUUAAGCGAGGUUCUCGAACUGCUAGCGACUUAGCUUCGGUGAGGUCGCAGUGUGGGAAGUGAACCUAGCUUUGGUGUCUAGAGGAAGUAAAAGUCGUAACA